rnacentral:rRNA from 1 species
UACGUAGGGGGCUAGCGUUGUCCGGAUUUAUUGGGCGUAAAGAGCGUGUAGGCGGCCAGGUAGGUCUGCUGUGAAAACUCGAGGCUCAACCUCGAGACGUCGGCGGAAACCAUCUGGCUAGAGUCCGGAAGAGGAGAGUGGAAUUCCUGGUAUAGCGGUGAAAUGCGCAGAUAUCAGGAAGAACACCCGUGGCGAAGGCGGCUCUCUGGGACGGUACUGACGCUGAGACGCGAAAGCGUGGGGAGCGAACAGG